rnacentral:lncRNA from 1 species
GACAUCAAAGCCUUUCGCGAGGCACCAUUUGAAGCAAUUCGCAACAACACCAACCUGUGUGGCAAUGCAACUGGUUUGGAGGCUUGUUCUGCAAACAAAACUGUGCACAAGAAGGGCCCCAAAGUUGUCUUUUUGACAGUACUUUCUCUGCUGGGUAGUUUGUUGGGCCUGAUUGUAGGUUUUCUUAUCCUUUUCCGAAGCAGAAGAAAGAAAAGUUUAGUGAAAACACCACAAAGAGAUGUUACCGCGAGAUGGGGAUCUGCGCUACGAGGAUUAUAUUUUAAAAUUUAUUUUUGAUAUUAACAUAUUAAAAUGAUUUAAAUAUAAAAUUAAAAAAAUAAAAUAAAAAUUAUUUUCUUAAAAAAAAUUAAAUGUAAUAAUCUUCAUCUUUUAGUAAUCAGGAGUCAUGGAAUGGUGGGGUGCAAGCUAGCUAUUAUUAAUUGUAAAGUUCGGAUUUCACGUCAUAGCUAGAUAAAACCUAAAAUAAUUAGGGUAAUUAAGGGAGAGAUAGAGUUAGAUUUGUUGUUUAACACAAGCAAUGAAAAACUAGGAGAAAAAACACGAAAAAAGAAUAUAUAAAAAAAAUCCUUGAAGGAUGAUCACCCAAUUUCGUAUUUGUUUUAAUCAUGGAAUAUAAUAAUCUUAUUAAAUAAGCACAUAAUGGUGCAAAAUAAUAUAUCUCUUGUAUUUCAUAUAUAUAAAAAAAUCAUCCGAGAAUGGAUCCAUAGCUGAAACCCCAGCAUAAAUAUUCUAAGAAUUUUAAAAUUACUAUUCUUUGCCUUGCACCAGGAUUUGAAAUUGCAUUCCAAAUGGCAUUUUUAAAUAAUUUGAAAAAAAAAUUUGCUUAUUUUUUUUUAAUCGUUUAGAAAUGCUGAUAUAAAAAAUAAUUUUUUAAAAAUAAAAAUAUAUAUUAUUUUGAUGCAUUUCCGAGUAAAAAACAAUUUGUAAAAUAAUUGCUACGACACUUUCCAACCCCCCUAAUAGUUAAAAAAAAGAAAUAUAAUAAGAUUUGUUACAAGUUAAAAUAUUCAAAGAACAAGAAAAAUUAGAAGAUAUAAAAAAUAUUUAGUUUUUAUUUAUAUAUUUCAAAAACUUAUCACAACCCUUUAUAUGUCAAAAAUAUUUAGUUUUUAUUUAUAUAUGUCAAAAACUGAUUUUAGGAUUACGACUAGUUUUCGCGGAUCAUGUUAAACAGAGGCUAGUUUAUAGAGAGAGAUGAAUUUGUACAAACAAAAUAAAAUCAGUUCAAAGAAGUGCCAAGAACGCUCCUAAUCUCCUUUCUAACCAUCCGCAAAUUAACGACAUGAAUUUCGUGGGAAACAUCACUAAUGCUGAAACCCAAAGACAUGCAAUCAUGAAUGGAAGACCAUAGUAUUCUACACCUCUUCAGACGCAACUGUCUACAUAGCAAAAACAUUAAUGAUUAACCACGUGAAUGAAUUAAGACAUCCAAUUAAGAAUGGAAGACAUCCAAUUAAGACGCAACUGUCCAUCUUCUUAAGAAAUUUUCGAUCAUGACCAAGACAAAUGAAUUCCUGCACAAAGGGUAAUUAAGGGAGAGAUAGAGUUAGAUUUGUUGUUUAACACAAGCAAUGAAUAACUAGGAGAAAACACAAGAAAAUAAAUAAUAUAAAAAUAGUUGAAGGAUGAUCACCCAAUGCAGAGUCGUAUUUUUUUUAAUCAUGGAAUAUAAUAAUUUUAUUAAGCACAUAAUGGUGCAAAAUAAUAUAUAUCUUGUAUUUCAUAAAAAAAAAAAAAAUCAUCAGAAUGGGUCCAUAGCUGAAACCCCAACACGAGUAUUCUAAUAAUAGUGAAAAAUACUGCAUUAAUUUCCCUUCUAGAAUGACAAUUUAAAUUAGUCUAAACGUAUAACUAUUUGCUUUGAUGGAAUCGAAGUUCAAGUUGUCUGGAUGCAUAUACAUAUUCUUUUCCACAUGGUACCAUUUUCUUUAUUCCAAUGAUUUUUUUUACUUUGUUCCCUUUACCUGAAUGUUUACAGAAAUACUUAUCUUUACCUGGACGGCAAAUAAUAUGCCCUCGCGAAGACGGCACCCUGACUUGGUUGCCUUACAUGUUAAGAGAUCGUUUGAUUACUUCUGUAUAUUACCGCCAAAUUGAUAUUGCAUUUUCUGUGAGAUAUUUGCUUGUUUUACAAAAAUAUUUGUGUUUUUUAGGUACUAGUAAUCUAUAUAAUCCAAAAUUACUAUUCGUUGCCUUGCACUAGAGGUUUGAAAUUGCAUCCCAAAUAGUAUUUCUAAUUAAUUUGAGAAACAAAUUUGCUUAAUUUUUUUUAAUGAUUUUUAAUCGUUUAGAAGUAUUCCUAACAAAAUUAAUUUUUUUAAAAUAAAAAUAUAUAUUAUUCUAAUGUAUUUCCGAGUAAAAACACUUUAUAAAACAACCGUUAUAAUACUUUCAUACACCCCCUAAUAGUCAAGAAAAGAAAUAUAAUAAGAUUUGUACAAGAAUAUUUAGAAGAUAUAAAAAAUAUUUAGUGUUUAUUUAUACAUGUUAAAAACUUAUUACAACCAUUUAUAUAAUAAAUGUUUUUUUAUAUUUUAUUUUAAUGCAUUUCCGAGUAAAAACACUUUGUAAAACAAACCGUUAUAAUACUUUCAAACACCCCCUAAUAGUCAAGAAAAGAAAUAUAAUAAGAUUUGUACAAGAAUAAUUAGAAAAUAUAAAAAAUAUUCAGUUUUUAUUUAUACAUGUUAAAAACUUAUUACAACCCCUUAUAUAGAAAAUGUUUUUGUUUUAAAAAACUAUUAUUACUAAAAAGAAAAAAAAACUAUUUUCUUUAAAUAGAAAAAUUAUAAGAGCCUAAUAAUAUUGAAUAAAAAAACUAAAAUAAAUUCUAAAUUAGAAAAUUAAAAAUUAAAAAAAAAAACUUAUUUGAUGUCAACUAGUGCAUUAAGAAAUUUUUUUAAAUGAAUCCUAAGAUUUAAACUCAAAGGAUAAAAAAGAAAAGGGAAUAAACAUCAUUAAUCACCAGAUCUUCCACCGUGAUUCAGGGAUUUAAGGAUGUCCUUGUUUUGCGUGGACAAACCACAAAUUAUCCCCAUCAAUUUCUUUAGUUGAAUUGAUUUGAUUGAUCGAAAUAAACCGACAAAAAAAGUGAAAAGGAUUUAGCAAUAGGUUCCGAGUUAUAGUACUGGGACUAUUCAAUCUUCUUACUUUGACAUAGUCUACAAACCUCUCAAGACGCAAUUAGGUUGAACGACUAAGAGGGUGUUUGGGAGUGUGGUAGCGGUUGCUUUUCAAAUAGCUUUUCGUGCCAAAAAGUAUGCCAAUAAUAUUUUUUUCAUUUUUUUAAAAUCAUUUUUGACAUCAGCACAUCAAAACGAUCCAAAAAGUACAAACCGCAUUCAAUUUUAACAAAAAAUAAAAAUAAAAUUUUUUUGAAUUUUUUCAAAAAGCCGGUUUGGCCGCAAUGCCAAACAGGCACUAAAGGUUGAAUAUACGAAGAAAAGAAAAUAUCAACACAAGAAAUAUUAAAAGCAUAUAAAAUUUUAUCAAGCACCAUAAAAAUUUUCAUAGGAUUUAUAAUAGUACAAGAUUUGCAAAAAUAAAGUCAUGGGAACAUCAUAACUUUGGUGUGAUUAGUUUAAUUUGUCAUGGCAGCUAUUUUUUAUAAAAAAAAAAAUGAUUUUUUUUUUAACUUAUUUAUGGAAUUCUUUUUUUCCACAUGUCAAUGCAUCUUGAUCAAAAAAACAAACUGAUCGGUCACUGUUACCUAAUCUUCCAUUAUCAGCUAGCUGGAUUGAUUUCAUUUAUCGAAAUGAACCAACAAGAGAAGUGAAAAUGAAUUAAGAAUAGUACUGGGACGCCAUUGAAUAUUCAAUCUUCUUACUUGUCCCUGUCCAAAAGGAACGUAUCACUCGGUACAAACUUCCCAUAGUCUACACCUCUCAAGACGCAAUUAAGUUUUCUGCCUUUUGUUUGGGUUUAUAUUUUGAAAGAGCACACUUAGUGAAAAUAAUUAGCAAAGUAGCGCAAACUUAAGAUGUGCUUUUGAUAUUUAAUGAGUGGCGUUGUUCUAAUCGACGUAACCUCGUCAUAAAAGGAGUUUUUCUUCCAUGACUUCAAGUUACCAUGACUCUGGUCAAUUUUAUUAUUAUUAUUUUUUUUUUUUGUAAAAUGAGUGUUGGAUCCUUUUUUCUACCGAGUGUUUGCUUGUUUGAGUGUAUGAUAAAAGUUAUUUAAUGAGUUGGGUUGUUCUAAUUAAGGUAACCUCGGUAUUCUGUAGUCAGGGCCACUUUUAUGACAAGGACAAAGAAAGCCCGCACAGCACAUAUAAUUGUGGGUCACCUUGAGAUUUUUAAAUUGAAUUUUAAAAUUAUAAUAAUUAUUAUUUUUAUAUAUAUUGACUUGGACCCACGUUAAUCCUCCUUGCAUAUGAUUUGGUCCGAAGCAUAUAUAUACGCAUGCAGGGCAAAUCAUUUUAUACAUCCUUUUUAAGAAAGUAAACCACCAAGGCCAUGGCUUCCUACAUCUUUCUCUUUUCCACACCUUUUUUGGUUUUUUCCUUACUUGCUUAUGCUUCCUUCUUUGCUUCUUUUGCUAACUCGGCUAGUACUGGAGCUGCUGAAGUAGCAAAUGGAAGGAAGGAAGCGGAAGCUCUUCUAGAAUGGAAAGUCACUCUUGACAACCAAAGCCAGUCUCUCCUGUCUUCUUGGGUUGGAGACAGCCCUUGCAACUGGUUCGGAAUCAGUUGCGACAAGUCUGGUAGUGUUACCAACAUAAGCCUGCCUGAUUCUAGUUUGAGAGGUACCCUAAAUAGUCUCAUAUUCUCUUCCUUUCCUAACUUGAUUGAGCUUAUCAUUCGCAACAACUCGCUCUAUGGGACCAUUCCUUCACAUAUAGGUAACCUUUCUAACCUCUCCAUCCUUGACUUGUCUUACAAUAGCAUUUCUGGCAACAUUCCACUAGAAAUUGAAAAUUUAGAAUCUCUCACUAUUUUAGCUUUGAACUCUAAUAUACUAACCGGUAGAAUACCGAUAUCUUUAAAAAAUUUAAAAAGCUUAUCUGAAUUUUACUUUUGGAAGAACUAUCUUUCUGGUUCCAUUACUUUUAUCGAAAACUUGACGAGAUCUCUCACCUAUUUAGAUUUAUCAUCUAAUAAACUUAGUGGUGCUAUUCCUACGUCCAUAGGAAACUUAAGCAAAUUGUCUCAUCUUUACCUUUACGGCAACGAACUCUCUGGUUUCAUACCUAGGGAAGUAGGAAUGCUUGAACAUCUAUCUGCCCUUCAGUUGCUCUUUAAUUAUCUAACCGGUCCAAUCCCUGCUUCCAUAGGAAACAUGAGAUCUCUCACCAGUUUACUUUUGUCAUAUAAUUAUCUAAUCGGUCCAAUACCAGCAUCUUUAGGAAACCUGACUACCCUUGACUUGUCAUUUAAUAAUAUAAUUGGUCUCAUUCCUCCAUAAUUGAAACCUUACACAUUUGUAUUCGUUACAAGUAUAUUCUAAUAGAUUGUCUGGUAAUCUUCCACGAGAUGUGUGCCUUGGUGGAUUACUUUUAUAUUUUUCAGCGUUUGAAAAUUAUUUCACGGGACCUAUCCCAAAAAGCUUGAGAAAUUGCAGCAGCUUGUUGAGACUCAGACUUGAGAGAAACCAACUUAGUGGAAACAUAUCUGAAGCUUUUGGCACACAUCCUCAUUUGUACUACAUGGAUUUGAGUGAUAAUGAUUUGCACGGUGAACUUUCAUUGAAAUGCGAGCAGUUUAACAAUCUAACCGCCUUCAGAAUUUCUGGAAACAAAAUAUCUGGAGAGAUACCAGCUGCUCUUGGAAAGGCAACUCAUCUACAAGCUCUUGACCUCUCGUCAAAUCAACUGGCUGGGAGAAUUCCCAAAGAAUUGGGAAAUUUGAAGUUGAUUGAACUUGCACUCAACGAUAACAAACUUUCAGGUGAUAUUCCUUUCGAUGUCGCAUCGCUAUCUGAUCUCGAAAGGCUUGUCCUGGCUGCGAACAAUUUUAGUGCAACACUUCUUAAACAGCUUGGCAAGUGCUCAAAAUUGAUAUUCUUGAAUAUCAUCAAGAAUAGAUUGACAGGGAGUAUUCCUGCUGAGAUGGGGUCUUUACAGUCACUUCAAAGUCUUGAUCUCAGUUGGAAUUCCCUCAUGGGAGGUAUAGCACCGGAGCUUGGACAGAUGCAGCUGCUAGAGGUAUUAAACCUCUCCCAUCAUAUGCUGUCUGGUCUAAUUCCAACCAGUUUUAGUAGACUGGUAAGUCUCACUGAAGUGGAUGUAUCCUAUAACAAGCUAGAGGGCCCCAUUCCUGACUUCAAAGCCUUUCGCGAGGCACCAUUUGAAGCAAUUCGCAACAACACCAACCUUUACUGUAGCAAUGCUGCUCGUUGGGAGGCUUGUGGACGUCGCAUGAAAAACAAAACUGUGCACAAGAAAGGCCCCAAAGUUGUCUUUUUUACUGUAUUUUCUUAUCUGCUGGGUAGUUUGUUUGGCCUAAUUGUAGGUUUUCUUAUCUUUUUCCAAAGCAGAAGAAAGAAAAGGUUAGUGGAAACACCACAAAGAGAUGUUACCGCGAGAUGGUGCCCUGGUGGGGAUCUGCGCUACGAGGACAUCAUUGAGGCUACUGAGGAAUUCGACUCCAAAUAUUGCAUUGGUACUGGAGGGUAUGGAGUUGUAUACAAAGCUGUACUUCCAUCAGAACAAGUCCUUGCCGUGAAGAAAUUCCACCAAACACCAGAAGUUGAGAUGAGCAGCUUGAAAGCUUUUAGAAGCGAGAUUGAUGUCUUAAUGGGUAUACGGCAUCGAAAUAUUGUGAAGCUGUAAAGGAGCUUGCGGACGGUGUGACACAUGUUGCAAAACUGGCGUUUGCUUGCUUGCAGACCGAUCCUCACUAUCGGCCAACAAUGCGACAGGUUUCUACAAAGCUUACAACUCGGUGGCCUCCAUUGCCAAAGCUAUUCUCCACGAUGGAAUUGGAAGAUAUAAUGGUUUACAGAAAUAUUAUUGGCUGAAUUUUUACAGUAUACUUGGGCGUUUGUGAAAAGCAACUUGUUUGGCAUCAUUUUAAAUGAACUUGGUGAAUGUCAUGAAUCAUGUAAUUUAUUGCCUUCAUUUGUAUCAAUUGCCUACAUAAUUUUUUUGGGAGAGUAAUAAACAAUCCAAAUUCCAACACAAAGACCGUACAAUAAUGAUGAACAAAAUUUCCACAAUCAAAUCAAACCAAACUCGUCCUAAAAGAUCAAAUAACGUCAUUUGUCACGUUGAAAUUCCAUACUUAUUCCUCCGGGUCUAAAGAGGGCUUCCCUCUUGGAAAGAAACAAAUAAGUAAUACCUAACACAAAUCUUUAAAUCGCACGUUGCAAAAACCUCGUAUUAAAAAUAGGAGAUAGCCAUCCUCUAAUCUCAAAUCUCUACCCCCUCGAACUUUUCCAGGUUUUGAAUCUAAAAAACCUCGUAUUAAAAAUUCAAAACUGCAAGGUCUUAACUCUUGAAUAGAUCGUCCCCCUAUUCUUCCCAGCCCUGUGAUAAGGAAUGCUGCUUCUGUUCAAAAACAAUUUUCAGAAUUGUAGGCAUAAUUUUCUCUCAAGGUUCGGGUUAAUUUUGUACCAGGAAGGCCAACGGGCCUUGGCAUCAAAACAUUUUGUAAUUUUCAACAGUUUUCAAGGGUUUACGCGAUUAUGAUGAAUUAUAAGUGGGAUUUCCUGAAUUGAGACAAGACCAAACCUACAGCCAGAAAAAGUCUUUGUUUACCAAACAAAAACAAUUCACAUGUAUCUUUCCUCUGGGCUUCAAAAAAUCUAAUAGAUCUUGUCUUAUGGUAGGCUGCUUCAGUUCCCUUAUGAAACUUUUAUUAUUGGGCUAGCCAUACUCUUUAUAUAUUUCUAGCAAUUCACAUGACUUCAUCAAAUGAUACAAGUCUUGGAUAAGAAUCUACAACAACACUAGAACAUCCUCGUUGACAAUCCGUGCUUCUCUGCAAAAAUCCAUUAGUAUCUUUCCAAGAUCAUGAAACUCCAAAACAAAGAACAUCCAAAACCCUUUGCAAACUCCAACAGAACCCUAAUUGAAUAUAACAGCUGAAAACAUCCCAGUGAAGUGCUUGCGAUUCAAAAAAUGAAGUCUAAUAAUGGACUACUUGAAGCAAAGCAGAAGUUAUGAGACACUUAUGAUGCGUCUGUUGGGGAUAAAAAGGCUGUUUCCGUAGAAAGCAUUUUUCAAGACGAAUAGGAACGUUGUGGCAGUUGAUUUGAAACAUAGGAAUUGGAAGGAUCAAAAUUCAGAAUGUCUGAAAAGCAAUGAUACUUGAUAUGAAUCCAGGUGGUGUGGUUAAGGUCGGGGUGAUUUGUAUGGCGAGAGAGGAGAUAUUGGAGAAUGUAAUGGGAGCACUAAAUGGUGUUGUGGAGAUUCCCAUGAAGUGGACAGGGUUGCAGCCUCUAAUUUCCACUUAAAGUUUGUGGAUUCAAUGCGUUGCUGAUUUUUCAAGCAAAGACUGAUUGGGAGGGGAACUUUGAAAUAGUUAAACGGAAUGAGGAAAUGGAGGCAGAGGAAGAGGAAGAGGAAGGUGAGAAAUGAAAUGAAAGUAAGAAAGAUGGGAAGUGUGUCAAAAGGAAGAGGAAGAUGAAGAUGAGAAAAGAGAUGAAAGUAAGAAAGAUGGGUAGUGUGUCAAAAGGAAGAGCGUUCAUGAGUACUAGUAAUAUUCAUGAGCUUAUAUUAGAUGGUAAUGACAUGGAUGUCGAGAAAGGAGAGAAAGUAAGCAAGAAGAAGAAAAUGAUUUUCAUAUUUAGAGUAGGGAUUGAGAAGGGAAAUCUGUUCUCUAUACUAUCUUGACAUCAUUGAUAAUAAUCUACAUGAGAUUUACUCCUGCACUUCAACGCAGCCACAUAAGCACAUGCCCAAACUGAAACAUCUCAUUUAGUUUUCGAGCACCAGGCUAAGUCCAUUUCCAUGAAAAUGAUAGAGGAUGUACGUGUGCGCUUCUAAUUCGAAACAAAAAGAAAAUAUGUUGAAAAAUCAAACAUUUGAAAACUCACAAAAGAUGGAGCAGGCUGCUUCUCAAACAGCAGAACAUGUUUUAUAACACUACAAGGCAAUCAUCCAAUAGCAAACAAAAAUCAAUUAAAUUUGGAGGCAAUAGACCAAAACCUCGUUCAAAUAAAAUUGACAGAUGAAUCAUAUAGCAGUCAAGGGAAAAUAUAAUUGAUAAAAUAAAGGUGAUUUUCUGCUUGAAUUGUGUCAGUGACUAACUUCAGUUGAAGAUUUUAAAGAGGGCAUCUGGAUAUGGGGAUUACUCUUCCUAUAUGGCUACUUGCUGAAUUACUGGAAUAGUAGUGAGUUUCUUGACAGGAAACCAGCCAGAAAAUCAAAUAUAACAGAGAUCAAACACAAAAUUUAGGGGAGUAGUCGAUGUAUCAGCAGGGAGAACCAAGCAUUUCCAGACAAAUGCAAAGUCUUUCAUUAUGGCAUUUGAUGCUUUUGUGGUCUCAAGCAUGAUCCACCUGGUGAUCCCAGAAGUUGUAAAGGCCAACUCAAAACUGUUGAUGUGAGCCAUCAGAGCAAUAAAAUUUCUUCAGCUUCUUUCUACAAUUUUAACAGCUCUUUUCCAUUUUUCUCAAGGUGUAAUUCCAGGAACACAAGGGACAGCGGGCUUGGGCUUCUUUAUUUUUUCAACCAGCACAGCUUGAGUUGUUAGAACUAUCCCAGCAAUUUGUCUGAAACUCUAGAAACUCUUUGAAGUGCACACCUAGAAACUCUACAAGGAUCUACCACCCCUGCAUUGAGAAGAUCUUCGUAUCUACCAGUCAUUGCAUUGUAACCAAUUCUCCAGUCACAAGAUCGAAUAUUCUCCACCACAACUGCUCCAUCAACCCCUGCAUUAGUUGCAAUUGUUUUUGCAGGUGCAAGAAGUGCCUGUAAUGCAUCAUUGGUACGUGUUACUACAUGGGAGAAGAAAUUUCAAGCGAAAAAAUUAGAAAAAAAAAUGUAUUUUCAAGUGAAAUAUUUAAAAAAAAAAACACAUCAUACACCACAAUAUCAAAUACAAAUAUAUAGAUGGUUAGUCAUAAACUUGAUUAUCUAAUUUAAAUCCUAUAUAAAAAAAGAAAUUUCUCUUAAAUGCAUUAAAUUAGAUAUAAUUAAUUCAAAUAUUAAAACCUGAUUAGAAAGAAAUUUAACUCUAAAGAGCAAGAAUUUGUACCCAAUAUCUCAUUUGAGACAUCAGUCUUGUGAUUACGUGUUCUAAAAGAGAGGGGAAGAAAUUGUAGUAAUUUAUGUUGGUGGUGGACACGCUCCAAAUUAACAAAUUGAAACUUAGCUUUGGGAUUAUUCUCCUUUAUCAUCCGAAAGUGACACAUCUACCAAACCAAUUAAUUUAAAAACACAACACACAAACCAUAAUAUUUAACUAACUUAAUGAUUAAAGCCGUAAACACAUAAUUAUAAAACCAUUCUAUUGUCGGAUGAUGAAAAAACACCAAGAGAAUGUCAAACCGUAAAUCACGAUUAAUAAAUAAUCAAACACGUCAUUAACAUUAAUCAUCAUAAACUAUGAGCUUGUUGUUUUAUUGAUCCCCACAGCACUAGCAAUGUCUCUCUUCCAAGUUUCCUUGUACUUGUUUCCUCGUCAUCUUGUAGCCAGGGUCACUUUUAUGAUAUGGACAGUGGAAGCCCGCACAACACGGACAAUUUGGGCCACCUUCACCUAUUAACAUCAACGUGUCAUUUUUAAAUUAAAUUUUUAAAUUAUAAUAAUAAUUAUUUUUUUAUUUAUUGACUUGCGUUGAUCUUUCUUCCAUAUAAUUUAGGCCUUCCUCUUGUUGAUUUUUUAGUCGAAUUUUGAAUCUAUAAUAAUAAUUAUUUUAAUUUAUAUAUUAACUCGGUCAUUUUAUGUUAACUCUUUUAAUCUGUGACUUGAGUUGUGUCCAGUCAACUUUCAAACCAGAUUUUAAAAUUAUAAUAAUAAUUUUUAUGAUAUGAUUUCCAUGUAAUGGUAGCUGUCCUGCGUUGAUUUUUGCUAACGAUUGUCUCCUUAAGCACAAGUUUAUCUGCUAACGAUAGUGAUUUAUGUACACAGAUAUCUGGACGGCAAAUAAUAUGCCCUCGCGAAGACGGCACCCUGACUUGGUUGCAUUGCAUGUUAAGAGAUCGUUUGAUUACUUCUGUAUAUUACCGCCAAAUUGGAAUUGCAUUUUCUAUGAGAUAUUUGCUUGUUUUGCCUUCGUGGCCUCACAGUUGUUUUACAAGAAAUAUUUGUGUUUUUAGGUACUAGUAAUCUAUAUAAUCCAAAAUUACUAUUCGUUGCCUUGCACUAGGGGUUUGAAAUUUUAUUCCUGUCAAAUAACUAAUUCAACCCAAAAGCUUAAGUUGUUAGGUAAGGUCCAAGAUAUAAUUUAUAUUAUUUUUUAACAUACCCCCUCAAGUGAAAGCCCUUUGAACUUGAAACUUGCACAUGUUCAUAUUACAUUGUGCUUAAUUUUAUCAAAUAAAUAGGGAUGAUGAGAUACGAACUCGUAACCGCUUAGUCAUUAAAGCUCUGAUACCAUGUCAAAGAACCAAUUCAACCCAAAAGUUUAAGUUGUUAGGUAAGGCCCAAGAUAUAAUUUAUAUUAUUCUCUAACAAUUCCCAAAGACAUUCCUAAAUAAUUUGAAAGCAAAUCAUUUAAAAGUGUUGAUACCAAAAAUAAUUUGUUAAAAAUAAAAAUAUAUAUUAUUUUGAUAUAUUUUUAAGUGAAAAAUACUUUGUAAAAUAAUCGCCACGACACUUUCAAAUACCCCCUAAUAGUCAAAAAACGAAAUAUAAUAAGAUUUGUUUCAAGUUAAAAUAUUCAAAGAAAAAGAAUAAUUAGAAGAUAUAAAAAAUAUUUAGUUUUUAUUUAUAUAUGUCAAAAACUUAUUACAACCCUUUAUAUAGAAAAACAAAAACAACUAUUAUUACUAAAAAGAAAAAAAAUAUAUUUUCUUUAAAUAGAAAAAUUAUAAAAGCUUAAUAAUAUUGAAUAAAAAACAAAAAAAAAUCUAAAUUAGAUAAGAAAAAAUUAAAAAAAAAAGUUAUUGAUGUCAACUAGUGCAUUAAUGUUUGAUAUGAAUGUUUGAUUAUUUUUUUAAGAAUUUUUUAUAUUGAUACAUCAAAUCAUCAGAAAAUAUUAAAAAAUAUUAAUUUAAUAUUUUUUUCAAAUCAAACAUAUUUUUAAAAUUCACCUAAAUAUAAUUUCAAACACAAAAAUUAAUAAUAUCAAUAUAACACAUGAGCAUGAUAAAUGGAAUGAUAUUAAUAACUAGUAUUAAAAUUGAAAAUAAAACUGUUUAAUAUAUUGAUUUCAUAACCAUUUCUGUACAUAGCUAUUAGAAGAAAAAUGUUUAAUUUUUGUAGUUGGGAUUUAGAAGAUUUGAGUUUUGAGUAGGCUAUAUAUACUAGUACUCAUGAACUCAGAAUAUAUAGAAGGUUUAUUUCCUUGGUUUGUGUUGAGGAUCCUCUGCCCUGAUCCACGGCCUUCCAUAUGUGCACUCUUUGAUCCUCAGUUAUAGAAGCUUAUUUAGCUAAUUCCUUUUAUUUCUCUUGUAAUUAACAUUUAUGUGUAGUUUUUACACAUUUCUGUGAGAAAUUAAACAUGGUAUAUUUAAUUAAACUGUCAAAGCGUAGAGCGAUUUAUCACAUUCCAAAAGAAAAGGGCAAUUUUAAUAAUUUGUUUUAAACUCAAAGGAUAGAAAAGAAAAGGGAAUAAACGUCAUUAAUCACCAGAUCUUCCACCGUGAUUCAGGGAUUAAAGGAUGUCCUUGUUUUACGUGGACAAACCACAAAUUAUCCCCAUCAAUUUUUUUGUUGAAUUGACUUGAUUGAUCGAAAUAAACCGACAAAAAAGGUGAAAAGGAUUAAGUUUAUGAAAAUAUUUUAAAACCCGGCAAACGACGAGGCCUAAAUUAAAAACUUUUUAUUAGGAUAAAUAAAGCCAGAUAACAACACACAGUAUCAAUGACUCGAAUCUUAGAAAGAGUGGUUUAUAUUGAAGAAUAAAAUUUCUGGAAAUAAAACAAACUGAUCGGCCACUGUUACCUAAUUUUUUAUUAUCAGCUAGCUGAAUUGAUUUGAUUUAUAAUAGUACCUGUUCAAAAUUAUGUGUCAAUUAGAGUACUGGGACGCCAUUGAAUAUUCAAUCUUCUUACAUGUACCUGUACAAACUAUAGGGUAUAUUUAUGUUUGUUAUUUGGUAAAUAUACUUAUAUUUCUUAAUUUGAAUUAUUAUGUAGGAUUAUGACAUUAAAAGUUAAUAUUUAUGCAUGAGUAUAAUUGAUGUAAAGUGUUUACAUUUAUUUUCUAAUGCUUAAAGGAUAUAAAAGGAUAAUUGCCUAAACCCCAUUGUAAAAACAAUUGUCAUACAAAAAUCCCAAAUAUCUAACUCUUAAUCCAUUAACUAAUUUUUCAUUUUCAAUAUAUAUAUAAAAUUAUUUUAAGGUUUUAAAAAUAUCAAUAAAUUUUACUUAAUAAGCUUAUAUGUCAAUAAUAUUAUAUUAAAAUAUUUAUAUUAUAUGUAUAGUUACAUUUUAUAAAACUAAUGUUCUAUAUAUAUAUUAGAUAAAUUUGAAAAAAAAAUAUUAAUAUUUUUUAUGAUAUAGAAAAAACAAUAAAAAUUGGUUUUUUAAUUUAUUUUUCUAAAAUGUAGGUUUCAAUAAAAUCAUUUUUAAAACCAGGUAAUGAGGCCUAAAUCAUUUUUUUUUUAUCAGGAUAUACAGAACCAAAUACCAACACACAACACCAGGGUCUCACAUCAUAGAUUUUUAGAAUGAGUGGUUUAUAUUGAAGAAUAAAAUUUCAGGAAAUAAAACAAAUUACAGAUCGGUCUAAAUUAAAAAUUUCCGGCUUGUCUCCUCAGUUGCUUUCAUUUGAAGUCAUGAAUACUCUGAUUUUUCAGGAUUACUUCUCAAUAUCUUACUUACCUGAAUUGAUCUUUUAGCAAAAGGAUUCUUUAUUUCUAACGAAGAUGCUGACUGGCUGGGUGGCUUCCUCUGCCUCCAACCCUCCACCUUUAAUUGAUCUAUCUUCCUCGAAAGGUGGCACGAGUUUCUUCCCAUGAUGAACUGACUUUUUUGUAACAUAAAAAAAAAUGAUGUUAAAACAAUGUCAAUAUAUUUUUAAUAAAGAAAAUUCAUGACUUAAUAUCAUAAAAAGAAAAUAAAAAUUUUGGUUGAUUUGGUUAAUUCAUUAAUUAUUUUAUUAUAUAUAUUUUUUCAAAAUGAUUGUAUUUUAACCUUUUUUUUAUAAAAUAAAAAGAUUUGAUUGACUUGAGUUAACUCAAGUUAACCCACCUGACUUGUGACUCGGUACUUGCCUCGAAUCGACUCCCGAGCCGAGUUUAAAAGCUUUGAGAAACAUCAUUAAGACCAGCUUCCUAAUUAAUAAAUAAAAUGUUGACCGGUGAAAUAAAUAAAAAAAUUAAUUUUUUUUUUUUAAAAAAAUAGCAAUUAAAAAAAUAAAAACCUAAUUUAAAAAAAAAUAAGAUGACAACCUAAAAUUUUUAAUUAAGGGGUAAAAUUAAAAAUAAAAAUCAAAUUAAUAAAAGAAUCCAAAACAAAAAAAAAUGAAGAGAUUGAGUACCAAAUUUGAAAAAAAAAUCAAGAUUAGGAUCCAAAGAUAAAAUUAAAAAUAAAUUAAGACUUGAUAAAAAAAAAAAUCAAAAUUAAUAUCGUCAAAUUUUUCAAAAUCAAAAUCCAUCUCCACCGAAUCUUACUCGAAAAUCUAUCAUUUCUUUCCCAUAUAUAUACGUAUGCGGGGCAAAUCAUGUUAUACAUCCUUUUUAAGAAAGUAAACCACCAAGGCCAUGGCUUCCCACAUCUUUCUCUUUUCCACACCUUUUUUGGUUUUUUCCUUACUUGCUUAUGCUUCCUUCUUUGCUUCUUUUGCUUACUCGGCUAGUACUGGAGCUGCUGAAGUAGCAAAUGGAAGGAAGGAAGCGGAAGCUCUUCUAGAAUGGAAAGUCACUCUUGACAACCAAAGCCAGUCUCUCCUGUCUUCUUGGGCUGGAGACAGCCCUUGCAACUGGUUCGGAAUCAGUUGCGUCAAGUCUGGUAGUGUCAGCAACAUAAGUCUGCCCAGUUCUAGUUUGAGAGGUACGCUUAAUAGUCUCAGAUUCUCUUCCUUUCCUAACUUGAUUGAGCUUAGCCUUCCCAACAACUCGCUCUAUGGGUCCAUUCCUUCACAUAUAGGUAACCUUUCUAAUUUCUCCAUCCUUGACUUGUCUUACAAUAGCAUUUCUGGCAACAUUCCACCAGAAAUUGGAAAUUUAGUAUUUCUCACUAUUUUAGAUUUGUCCUCUAAUAAACUAACCGGUAAAAUACCGAAAUGUUUAGAAAAUUUAAAAAGCUUAUAUUCUCUUAACCUUUUGAAUAACAGGUUUUUUGGUCCAAUUACUUUUAUCAGAAACCUGACAAGAUCUCUUACUAUUUUAUCUUUGGCGUCUAAUAAACUAACCGGUACAAUACCGGCAUCUCUAGACAAUUUAGAAUCUCUCACUAUUUUAGCUUUGUCAUGUAAUAAACUAACUGGUAUAAUACCAAUAUCUUUAGGAAAUUUAAGAAGUUUAUCUGAACUUUAUCUUUGGAAUAAUAGUUUUUCUGGUCCCAUUAUUUUUAUCGGAAACCUGACGAGAUCUCUCACCUUUUUAAAUUUGUCAUUUAAUAAACUAACUGGUACAAUACCGGUAUCUUUAGGAAAUUUAACAUCUCUCACUUUUUUAGCUUUGUCAUUUAAUAAACUAACUGGUACAAUACCAACAUCUUUAAACAAUUUAAGAAGUUUAUCUAAACUUUACCUCGAGGAAAACAGUCUUUCUCGUCCUAUUCGAGAAAUGAACAACCUUACACAUUUGUAUAUGUUACAAAUAUAUUCUAAUAGAUUGUCUGGUAAUCUACCACGAGAUGUGUGCCUUGGUGGAUUACUUUCAUAUUUUUCUGUAGAUCAAAAUUAUUUCACGGGACCUAUCCCAAAAAGCUUGAAAAAUUGCAGCAGCUUGGUGAGACUCAGACUUGAGAGAAACCAACUUUGUGGAAACAUAUCUCAAGCUUUUGGCAAACAUCCCAAUUUGUACUACAUGGAUUUGAGUGAUAAUGAAUUGCAUGGUGAACUUUCAUGGAAAUGGGAGCAGUUUAGCAAUCUGACAACAUUCAGAAUUUCUGGAAACAAAAUAUCUGGAGAAAUACCAGCUGCUCUUGGAAAGGCAACUCGUCUACAAGCUCUUGACCUCUCGUCAAAUCAACUACUUGGGAGAAUUCCAAAGGAAUUGGGGAAUUUAAAGUUCAUUGAACUUGCACUCAACGAUAACAAGCUUUCAGGUGGUAUUCCUUUCGAUGUCGCAUCGCUAUCUGAUCUGGAAAGGCUUGGCCUAGCCGCGAACAAUUUUAGCGCAACAAUUCUUAAACAGCUUGGCAAGUGCUCAAAACUGAUAUUCUUAAAUAUCAACAAGAAUAGAUUGACAGGGAGUAUUCCUGCUGAGAUGGGGUCUUUAGUACAGUCUCUUGAAAGUCUUGAUCUCAGUUGGAAUUCCCUGAUGGGAGGUAUAGCACCGGAGCUUGGACAGCUGCAACGGCUAGAGGUUUUAAACCUCUCCCAUAAUAUGCUGUCUGGCCGAAUUCCAACCAGUUUUAGUAGACUGCAAGGCCUCACUAAAGUGGAUGUAUCCUAUAACAAGCUAGAGGGCCCCAUUCCUGACGUCAAAGCCUUUCGCGAGGCACCAUUUGAAGCAAUUCGCAACAACACCAACCUGUGUGGCAAUGCAACUGGUUUGGAGGCUUGUUCUGCUCUCAUGAAAAACAAAACUGUGCACAAGAAGGGCCCCAAAGUUGUCUUUUUGACAGUAUUUUCUCUGCUGGGUAGUUUGUUGGGCCUGAUUGUAGGUUUUCUUAUCUUUUUCCAAAGCAGAAGAAAGAAAAGGUUAGUGGAAACACCACAAAGAGAUGUUACCGCGAGAUGGUGCCCUGGUGGGGAUCUGCGCUACGAGGACAUCAUUGAGGCUACUGAGGAAUUCGACUCCAAAUAUUGCAUUGGUACUGGAGGGUAUGGAGUUGUAUACAAAGCUGUACUUCCAUCAGAACAAGUCCUUGCCGUGAAGAAAUUCCACCAAACACCAGAAGUGAGAUGAGCAGCUUGAAAGCUUUUAGAAGCGAGAUUGAUGUCUUAAUGGGUAUACGGCAUCGAAACAUUGUGAAGCUGUAUGGUUUCUGCUCGCAUGCCAAACACUCAUUUUUGGUAUAUGAAUUUGUGGAAAGGGGAAGUUUAAGAAAGGUACUGAACGACGAGGAACAAGCAGGAAAGAUGGAUUGGGAUAAAAGGAUGAAUCUUAUCAAAGGCGUAGCCAAUGCUUUAUCCUACAUGCACCAUGACUGCUCCCCUCCGAUUAUUCAUAGAGACAUUUCCAGCAACAAUGUUCUUUUGGAUUCAGAAUAUGAGGCUCAUGUCUCUGACUUCGGCACAGCAAGGCUCUUAAUGCCUGACUCGUCCAAUUGGACAUCAUUUGCUGGCACCUUUGGGUACACAGCUCCAGGUAUGUAGUUAAGUUUCAAUAUCACUUGAAAACAAAAUAG